GCGCUCGUAGCGCAACGGCACAGCGUCUAACUGUAAACGCGAUGGUUGUGGGUUCGAUUCCCAUUCGGAGGA
rnacentral:tRNA from 1 species